GGGAAUUUUGGACAAUGGGCGCAAGCCUGAUCCAGCCAUGCCGCGUGCGGGAAGAAGGCCUUCGGGUUGUAAACCGCUUUUGUCAGGGAAGAAAUCUCCUGAGCUAAUACCUCGGGGGGAUGACGGUACCUGAAGAAUAAGCACCGGCUAACUACGUGCCAGCAGCCGCGGUAAUACGUAGGGUGCAAGCGUUAAUCGGAAUUACUGGGCGUAAAGCGUGCGCAGGCGGUUAUGCAAGACAGAUGUGAAAUCCCCGGGCUUAACCUGGGAACUGCAUUUGUGACUGCAUAGCUAGAGUACGGUAGAGGGGGAUGGAAUUCCGCGUGUAGCAGUGAAAUGCGUAGAUAUGCGGAGGAACACCGAUGGCGAAGGCAAUCCCCUGGACCUGUACUGACGCUCAUGCACGAAAGCGUGGGGAGCAAACAG
rnacentral:rRNA from 1 species